rnacentral:rRNA from 1 species
AUUGAACGCUGGCGGCAGGCCUAACACAUGCAAGUCGAGCGAGCGGCGGACGGGUGAGUAAUGUAUGGGGACUGCCCGAUAGAGGGGGAUAACUACUGGAAACGGUAGCUAAUACCGCAUACUAUCGGAUAACCCAUAUGGGAUUAUCUAGUAGGUGAGGUAAUGGCUCACCUAGGCGACGAUCCCUAGCUGGUCUGAGAGGAUGAUCAGCCACACUGGAAUUGAAACACGGCGCAGACUCCUACGGAGGCAGCGGUGGGGAAUAUUGCACAAUAGGGGAAAGCCUGAUGCAGCCAUACCGAGUGUAUGAAGAAAGCCCUAGGGUUGGAAAAUAGUUUCAGUGGGGAGGCGUUGCCGACAAAAGAAACACCGGCUAACUCCGUGCCAGCAGCCGCGGUAAUAC